GGCAACAGAAAAAGGAGAGAAAGUAGAUCAUUUUCUCUUUUUCUUCCCCACAGAGAUGGAGUGCUAUCUAAUCAGCCCCGUGCCUCUGCUGAGCUGCCUGAGGUCUGAGGAGGGAGCGAAGGGAAAACAGAGUGAGGGUCUUCGAUCAGGUCAGGAGGAUCCUGAUGGAUGCUUUUUGUUGAGAGCUCUGCAGAGAUACACAAGCGUGUACCGUCCUACUUGCCUGCAGAGGGAUUUCCUCUUCGCAAACAAGAGCCUCCUCUGUGUCUGAAACCAGAGAGGUCAGCAUUCCUCUGCCCAGGCCUCAAACAGAGACCCAGAUUCUUG